CCGGAGAACUCGGCACGUCGCCGAAUCCGUCACUCAGUCGCCAAUGAGCCACGGCGGGAGCGCGCGCGCGGUUUCUCGAACCGCCAUAGUCAUGCAGUCAUCGAACCACCGACCUCGCCCUCUCCUGGCGCGAUUAUCGUGGCUGUAACUUUUGAAGACCAUCACUGCCACAUUAUAUUUUCUCUCGGAUUUCCCAUCCAACGUGCUUCAACCUGCGCUUGUUUUACUGUGUGUGCCAUCAUGCCGUGCUGACCCAAGUGCCGAUGGCUCGACAUCUGUGAGUUUUGCUGUGUGACAAUAAGUGGGCGUGCGUGUCCAAGGUGCUUGCUACGGAGAACUGCUGCCUCUUCACCUUUCACAGCUUUAUUCUUCGCCGUGCCAAUAACUUCGACAACAUUGCGCGCAGCUUUAUCUUCACUGUAGUCAUCCCGACAUUCCAUCGUGGGCCUUGUCCUGAGGUUGAUCCAGGACUGUUUUGUUCGGCACGUAGAUACCACUGGCGCGGCUAUAUUUGCUCGUGAGGUACAAUUUCGUCGAUUACUUGGUUCGGCUGGGCGUCAAAGACAUCGCACCCUUUCUCUCAGUAUCUUCACGGCAUCCCCAGCGAGACCGAGGCUAAGCCUACAUCACGUUCCCGAAUUAUGACACAAAUAGGUUGUGACGUGUGAAGUGUUUGGCCGCAUGACGGCUCGGACGUGAGUGUGACGCGAAGUUCGUGACGAGUAGGUGUACUGUGCUCACGACCUGGGGGCGAUCUCUUGCUCGCGUCGUUUCGCAAGCUUGUGACGUCGGCAUAGGCGCUGAGCGCUUGUGCGCGCUUUCGUGGUGAUGGCGUGGACUACGUGAUUGUUUUGUGUGUGUGUGUCUCGCGAGAGGCAGCGAAGGCGUCCAAGCGUGGAUAAAGACAACGCAGUGAAGGACCGUCGGAUAUGGAAGGAAUCUGGAUGGUGGCGACGCUUCUUGCAGCGUCUUGCGUGUCAGCGGCGUCAGCGGGAUUUAUUUUCCCAGCUUCGCAACGCAAGGCGGCAGAUGGACUAUUCGAUGACGAAGGCAUCCCAGAAGAAGCUCUGUACUACGAAACCAUCCAGCCGACGGUAAAGUCGGGGAAAGACAAGCAGCAGUUUGCCCCCAGCCAGGGUUCGUUCUACGAAACCAUCAAGCGAGCGGGAAAAUCCGGCAAAGACAGGCAGCACUUCAUUCACACACUCUUCAUGAAGCCUGCGCCGACGCUGCCACCGCCGCUGUGGAGACCACCACACCACAGGGAUGCGGUAUUGCUGCCCUACAUUCCUCUUAUGGGAGGGUACAACCGCGGUCACGCCCCCUGGAGACAACCGGGAGCUCUGAGCCGAGGAUUUCCGCCUCAGCAGGGAGUGGAACCACUGAGUGGACUGUACGACGGCAAUACUCUCAAUGACGAGCCUGACACAAUCAAUUCUAACGUGCCGCCGUUGUGGCCAGAUCCGAACAGGGUUCACCCGAUGUCCGGUAGCUUCGAAUGGCCCUUGCCACACUUCAGCCGGCUGCACUGGACGCCAGUACUGACCAACCUUUGGGACUCUCACCCUAGUUCCGGCACGGGCCACGUGGACAGGCCGGUCGUCAUCAAACCCAAGCCUGUAACAAAGUCGACGCGCAGACCAGAAGCCGGGACUGGAGAGGAGCCCGAACCCAAGUUUGUAGAAACAAUCCUCACGCACCCUACGGAAAACCCCAUUGAACACCCUACAGAAUGGACUGUGGACGUCCCCUUCGAGUGGCCGCUACACAAGCCUGGUACAGAGACGACUGUGGAGCCUGAAGACAAGCCACAGGUGGGGCCCGUCCCGGAGCCGCAUGAUAACAGCGCAGUAGGAUUCGCGACGGAGGAGGUGGGCGAUAACGAACCAUCAAGCGGUUCCGUUCCAUCGGUCGGGUCAGGGCAACCCGAAAGCGCUAACGUUCUACCUGUGUCUUCGGGCUCGGUCAUCAGCACCUUCAAAUUUCCUGGGCCACCCUCCGAAGAGGCGACGGGCUCGAAGACUGAACGUGAAGGAACCGCGCUACCUCAAUCAGUACCGGGAGAACACACGCACGCUCCUGGUAACAAAGAAAAAACCUCUGCACCCAAGACGACAAAAAAGAGUCAUCAUCAUCAUCCGCCUCCCGUAACCGCUUCCCGCCCGCACCCUGAGAAGGAAAUGUCCGAUACCGAAGUAAUGAAAGCAUUCAACUUCAACCCUCCCGGCUUGAUCAUGGAAAUGGCAGUCUUCUACGACGCUGACAGCGAAAGGUCGUUCAUAGAAGCACUCGGCUCCACGAGCAGCCUUGAGGAUGCCAUUAAGACCAUCAUUUCACAGGUGCAGGUCUUCUACAAGUCACCUUGGCUGAAAACUCCUCUACACAUCAUCAUCACUGAACUUAGGUUGCUUGAAGUAGGAGCGAACCAGCAACUGGAGUCGGACGAGGCUGACAAGUUGCUCAAGGGUUUUAGCAACUUCACUGCAAGAACUAACGCGCACGACGACCAGCCGGGACACUGGGACGUGGCACUGCUGCUCACUGGGAAGGACAUGCACGCGGCGAGAGAUGGGAAGAAAGAUACAAGCGUUUUAGGAAAGGCCUACUUAGGUGGCGUCUGCACCCGGGAUUAUGCCAACGUCGUUGUGGAGUUUGGAUCGACCAAUCCGAAGCGAAGGCCGAUGACCACAUUCGGCCUGCAGACGAGCGAUGUGGCCGCUCACGAACUGGCACACAGCCUGGGCGUCCACCACGACGGUCCGCCGGAAAACGACGACUGCUCGCUGGACCGCUACCUGAUGGGUCCGUGGCGAACCUCCAACACGACCACCUGGUGGUCCCCGUGCAGUCUCCAGGUGCUCACCAAGCUGCACGAGAACGUCAAACUGACAUGCCUCAGGAAGGCACCCUCUGUUAAAAGACUGCGGCAAGUGCUGCAUUGGAACUCGUGGCGCAGCUCGCAUCCUCCUGGCCAGCAGUGGGACGCCGACGCGCAGUGCCGUGUCUUCCUCAAGAGCGAGGCCGCGAGGUGCAGCAUCAAGCCUGAGAAUAUGAGUGCGGUAUGCCGUGCCUUACAAUGCAAGAGCCCGGAAAGAAUUGGCCUGUUUGGAGCCGGACAUGCAUUGGAGGGAACCUACUGUGGAGAUAACAAUUGGUGUCAGGGCACCAAGUGUGUGCCGUUCCCCAAGUCCAUGCCCGUGGUGCCCGGUGGCUGGAGUGACUGGGAAACGGUGACCGAGUGCAGCCAGCCGUGCCUCCAGCACAGCGUGGCGCUGAUGCGCAUGAAGAGGGCGUGCACCGAUCCACGACGGCAGAACACGUUGGAAGGCUGCGAGGGAGACAGCAUUAAACUAAGGCCCUGCGACAUCACCGCCAACAAGAACGCUCCGAAGUGCACGCAGCCGAAAACCAACCAGCAGUACAUAGACGAAAAAUGCGCUCUCUUCGCUCGCUCCAAGCCUGAACUGAAGCCGAAGGGCACUCAGGUGCCGUACAGCGAAGCCCAGUCGUGGCGCGCCUGCGCCAUUCACUGUGGCUACAAGGGUGACGCGUACAUCGCGGCCAAGUUCUUCCUCAACGAGCAGACGAACGAGACGGGCGUGCUGCCGGACGGCACCCGCUGCCACUUCGACAAGUCCAAGGGGGCCGCCUACUACUGCCAGCAGGGGCAGUGCGUCACGCUCCUCAGGAGCCUCGCCGGCAUUGAGGACAGCGUGGCCGGACAGGUCCUCGAGGUUGAAGACUCGGACUGGGCGCCGGACACCGAGGGUCGACGAUUGGUCGAGAAGUACCUGGAGUACGUGCCCGGCAAGGAGUUUGCAGUGUUGGACCCGAAGAAAGUGCCCAGAGCGCGAGCUCGCAUCGCUGUGGACGACCUUUAGUCUUUACUGGACUCGGCGUCUUCCGCUCACCUCCCGUUGGUGCGAUUCUGCAACAUGCAUGCAACAGCAACAGACGGUACCAGGAGGAAGUACUUUGCAAAUGUGCAGACGAACACAACGUCCUGUGCCCAGCAUGUAAGAGAUUGCGCGAUUGCCAAUGCGAACCAAUAAGUAUAAUAUUCUUGUCUCUUACACAGAGUCAAAUCCCCAAAUCUUUUCGAUCGAUUUCAAGAAUAUCACUGUAAUGGCCUUAAGAAUGACUUGGGCAGGCUGGUUGACACCCUAAGUUGAAAAAAAGAGCGCGAGACCACUAAGCACAAGAGAGGAAAUGUAGAACGGGAUGCGAAGUAAUUACGCAGUUACGUCAGUGUUUGAAUAUCAGUUCACUAUAACUGCUUUACUAGAUACGUUCCUUGUUUAUUAAAACGUCAUUUGGUAUUCAGUG
rnacentral:misc_RNA from 1 species